rnacentral:tRNA from 1 species
GGGGGGGUGGCUCAGUGGUUAGAAUGCUUGCCUAGCAUGCAGGAAGCCCUGGGUUCCAUCCCCAGCACCCCA